CCUACGGGUGGCUGCAGUGGGGAAUAUUGGACAAUGGGGGGAACCCUGAUCCAGCCACGCCGCGUGUGUGAAGAAGGCCCUCGGGUUGUAAAGCACUUUCAGUGAGGAAGAACGCCUGGUGGUUAAUACCCAUCAGGAAAGACAUCACUCACAGAAGAAGCACCGGCUAACUCCGUGCCAGCAGCCGCGGUAAUACGGAGGGUGCGAGCGUUAAUCGGAAUUACUGGGCGUAAAGCGCGCGUAGGUGGCUUGAUAAGCCGGUUGUGAAAGCCCCGGGCUCAACCUGGGAACGGCAUCCGGAACUGUCAAGCUAGAGUGCAGGAGAGGAAGGUAGAAUUCCCGGUGUAGCGGUGAAAUGCGUAGAGAUCGGGAGGAAUACCAGUGGCGAAGGCGGCCUUCUGGACUGACACUGACACUGAGGUGCGAAAGCGUGGGUAGCAAACAGGAUUAGAUACCCGUGUAGUC
rnacentral:rRNA from 1 species